UACGUAGGGGGCGAGCGUUGUCCGGAUUUAUUGGGCGUAAAGAGCGUGUAGGCGGCCAGGUAGGUCUGCUGUGAAAACUCGAGGCUCAACCUCGAGACGUCGGCGGAAACCAUCUGGCUAGAGUCCGGAAGAGGAGAGUGGAAUUCCUGGUGUAGCGGUGAAAUGCGCAGAUAUCGGGAGGAAUACCAGUGGCGAAGGCGGCUGCCUGGCCUGUUCUUGACGCUGAGGCGCGAAAGCUGGGGAGCAAACGGG
rnacentral:rRNA from 1 species